GCAUGAGCCACCGCACCUGGCCAGAAAUAAGUCUUUCUAAGUGGAGAGCACACACGUACACACUCACAAAUAAUCUUCAUUUUAGGAUGGAAUUUGGUCCUCUGCUUGCCAGAUUUUUGACUUACACCCUGCCUUGACCCAUAUCAUUGUGUUGUUUGAAAUACCCAUUAUGCGUGCAGUGGAUGAAGCAUAAACUACCUGUUUAUGCUGGCGAUGGCUGAAUAUGCAGAAAGGAGCACCAUUUAUUCUACACAUGAGUUCACAGCGUUCUGUUUCCCCAGUUUCCUCUGGGUGGUUUCUUCUGUUGAAAAGCCCCUUACUUGGCUGGGCGCGGUGGCUCACGCCUGUAAUCCCAGCACUUUGGGAGGCUGAGGCGUGUAGAUCACAAAGUCAGGAGAUGGAGACCAUCCUGGCUAACACGGUGAAACCCCAUCUCUCCUAAAAAUACAAAAAAUUAGCCAGGCGUGGUAGCAGACGCCUGUAGUCCCAGCUACUCGGGAGGCUGAGGCAGGAGAAUCACUUGAACCCAGGAGGCGGAGGUUGCAGUGAGCUGAGAUCGCCCCACUGCACUCCAGCCUGGGCAACAGAGCCAGACUUAGUCUCAAAAAAAAAAAGCCCCUUACUCUACCGGGCAUGGUCGCUCACACCUACAAUCCCAGCACUUUGGGAGGCCGAGGCAGGUGGAUCACCAGAAGUCAGGAGUUUGAGACCAGCCUGGCCAACAUGGUGAAACCCAGUCUCUACUAAAAAUACAAAAAUUAGCCAGGCGUGGUGGUGGGUUCCUGUAAUCCCAGGUACUCGGGAGGCUGAGGCAGGAGAAUCGCUUGAACCCAGAAGACCAAGGCUGCAGUGAGCCAAGAUCGCGCCAUUGCACUCCAGCCUGGGCGACAGAGUAAAACUCCGUCUCAAAAAAAAAAAAAAAGCAAAGCCGCUUACUCUAGUUAGCUUGUCAACUAAGCCCUCUCCCUGGGUAUGUGAUGUUUCUGCCUGUCUUCUUCCUUCCUGUGGCUUCGCUUUACAGUAUUCAGAUAGCUAUAGCAGUCUCGGCUGCAAAUCUCUUUUCCAGUGGAUCAUCCCCUCUUUAACUUUUGUCCUGUUAGCUUGGUGACAUCUUUGUAUGUUGGAGGGGCAGGCAGAAAAACAACAGCUCUGUGCUUAGAGCCAUUUCUCCAGUUUAUCCCAAGGUGCUCCUUAUCACUGUAGUUUAAGUAAGAACCUUUCUCCGCCUUUCGCAAAUCUAGUGUCUUGGUGUGCAUUUAGGAAAAAGAGGAAUGGCACUUCAGCAGCUUCUCAUGUCCAGCCUGGCGUUCCAGCAGCCCUCUUCUUCCCAUCCUUAAG
rnacentral:lncRNA from 10 species